UGAUUCUCUCUUUGUAACAGGUCAAUGAGUUCAAGUCUAUAGAAAAGUUCAAAAUUUUCAAUACAAACAAUUUGUGGGUCAACCUGAAUGCUAUCAAGAGGCUUGUGGAAGCUGAUGCACUCAAGACGGAGAUCAUUCCAAACCCGAAGGAGGUCAAUGGAAUCAAGGUUCUUCAACUGGAAACUACAGCUGGUGCAGCAAUUAGGGUAUAAAAUUGUACCAAUUAUGGUUAUGAUGUAUUAAAAUGUAAAAAGAUCUGUCUAACCAUGUGUUUUCCUUAUGUGAUUAAGUUC